CCCCAAAAAACCAAAGUGUGAUGGGGGUUACCCAAAGUGGUCUAUUAAGAACUGGGGUAGGUGAGUAAUGUUCCCUUCUAGAAAGGAGAGGGGAAGGCUGGUGCCAGCCGCCCCGGUAAAACCAGCUCCUCAAGUGGUCGGGAUAAUUAUUGGGCUUAAAGUGUCCGUAGCCGGUUUAGUAAGUUCCUGGUAAAAUCGGGUAGCUUAACUAUCUGCAUGCUAGGAAUACUGCUAUACUAGAGGGCGGGAGAGGUCUGAGGUACUACAGGGGUAGGGGUGAAAUCUUAUAAUCCUUGUAGGACCACCAGUGGCGAAGGCGUCAGACUGGAACGCGCCUGACGGUGAGGGACGAAAGCCAGGGGAGCGAACCGGAUUAGAUACCCGGGUAGUCCUGGCCGUAAACGAUGCAUACUAGGUGAUGGCACGGCCAUGAGCCAUGUCAGUGCCGUAGGGAAACCGUUAAGUGUGCCGCCUGGGAAGUACGGUCGCAAGGCUAAAACUUAAAGGAAUUGGCGGGGGA
rnacentral:rRNA from 1 species